GAUGGAAGACCUAGUGUCCAGUCCCCCAGCUCCACUCAGGAGAGCCUGAGAGAGACCCACCCCAGAAAACUACAACCUGCUUCUUUUGGAGGAGUGCUUUGUUUGGGAACUUUUAAAACACACGUGGUUAUAUGUUUGUGCGAAAGAAGGCAAGGUCAAAGAAAAGAUCCUUGCCAUUAGAGCAAAAGGUGGUGAGCUUUGGAAUGGUUCUUGAUUUGUGCAGGAGUUCAUUCUCCACCAGUAUAAAACUCAGUAGCACCAAAUCAUGGACCAGGACCACAGUGUGCUAGAUACUGUACAAGCACAGAACAAAAAGAUAGACCAAAAACUCUUUGGGUCGGGGACUAGGACAACAGAGAAUAGGUGGACACAGUCAAAUAAAGGAGCAC